rnacentral:lncRNA from 1 species
UUCACAAAACAGAGGAUUUAUAAAAUCAUUCAAGGAGAGACAAUUUAAAAAUCAUUGGUCUAUCAGAAGACCAUGACAAAAGAAAAAGUCUGGACAUCAUACUGCAGGAAAUUAUUAAAGAAACUGCCCCGAUCUCCUAGAACAAGAGGGAAAAGUGGAAAUUGAAAGAAUCCACAGAUCACCUCGUGUACUUAAUUUCCAACUAAGAACACCCAGGAAUUUUAUAGCCAAAUUCAAGAACUAUCAGACCAAAGAAAAGAUAUUACAAGCUGCUAAGAAGAAGUCAUUCAUAUACCAUGGAACCACAGUGAGGAUAACUCAGGACCUGGCUGCAUCCACACUGAAGGACCGAAAGGCAUGGAAUAUGAUAUUCCAGAAAGGAAGGGAACUAUGUCUACAACCAAGAAUCAACUACCCAGCAAAACUGACUAUAUUCUUACAGCAGAGAGUAUGGUCAUUUAACACAAUAGAAGAAUUCCAAGAAUUUGUAAAGAAAACACCAGACCUGAACAGAAAAUUUGAUGUCCAAGCACAGAACUCAAGAGAAUCAUCAAAAGAUCAAAGUUUGAGCCUCAAAGAGGAUAAGUGCCUUGGGCAUGAUCACAGCACAUAAAGCAGGAUUCAAACCCAGACCUCUCUUACUGAAAUGGGUUUUGAUCGUGAUGACUCCAUUACCAUCUCCAUUUCUACCUUUGGAUAAAUUAUUCCUUUUAUGAUACAUCCUAAAAUUCUGAUAACAAUAAAAGUCAAACUUAUUGGCC